CCGGCACGGGUGAGUAACACGUAUCCAACCUGCCGUCUACUCUUGGACAGCCUUCUGAAAGGAAGAUUAAUACAAGAUGGCAUCAUGAGUUCACAUGUUCACAUGAUUAAAGGUAUUCCGGUAGACGAUGGGGAUGCGUUCCAUUAGAUAGUAGGCGGGGUAACGGCCCACCUAGUCAACGAUGGAUAGGGGUUCUGAGAGGAAGGUCCCCCACAUUGGAACUGAGACACGGUCCAA
rnacentral:rRNA from 1 species